GAUGAACGCUGGCGGCGUGCCUAAUACAUGCAAGUCGAGCGAACAGACGAGGAGCUUGCUCCUCUAACGUUAGCGGCGGACGGGUGAGUAACACGUGGAUAACCUACCUAUAAGACUGGGAUAACUUCGGGAAACCGGAGCUAAUACCGGAUAAUAUAUUGAACCGCAUGGUUCAAUAGUGAAAGACGGUUUUGCUGUCACUUAUAGAUGGAUCCGCGCCGCAUUAGCUAGUUGGUAAGGUAACAGCUUACCAAGGCAACGAUGCUUAGCCGACCUGAGAGGGUGAUCGGCCACACUGGAACUGAGACACGGUCCAGACUCCUACGGGAGGCAGCAGUAGGGAAUCUUCCGCAAUGGGCGAAAGCCUGACGGAGCAACGCCGCGUGAGUGAUGAAGGUCUUCGGAUCGUAAAACUCUGUUAUUAGGGAAGAACAAAUGUGUAAGUAACUAUGCACGUCUUGACGGUACCUAAUCAGAAAGCCACGGCUAACUACGUG
rnacentral:rRNA from 1 species